rnacentral:lncRNA from 1 species
AUGCACUGGAAGGGAGAGACAAGCACUGUUGCAUUAUUUCACUGGCAGUGCCCCUGUUCAACCCCAGAGGCCAAGGGAGGAAAGAAGAGGCCGAGAAUGCUCCCUCCUAACCCAGGAACAGACUGGGCUCUCCCACAGUCUCCGAGACACGUGAUCAAACGUGAUCCCACUUCUCCAGAACCCAUGAGUGCAAAUGUCUGUGGUGUUCUCAUUUGGUUUCAUUUGGACCAGUUUUGGGGUUCAGUUUUGGGGUACCAGUGUGCCCUGACAUCAGUGCCUCUCAGCAUGAUGCCAGCAAAGAGAAUUUUUCUACCAUUUCUUUCUCCUUGCAGCUCAAAUGCAGACUUACUUUUUUUUUUUUCUGGAGUUUAAAAUCACAAUGUAGAAAGUGUGUCAAAUGCACAACGAUGAAAAUAAACCAUCUGUGGUUCUACCUCUUGGAGAGAAUCAUAGCUGAAGUUCAUGUUGGUACACUUCCUUCUAGCUUUUUUCC